AAGUUAUAUUACCCUGUUUGUAUCUUUUGGAACAAUGGCAAUUAAGAUGAUUAAAAGGAUGUAGAAUAGAUAGAUGGGUUCCCACUGGUGUCACAGGCAUCCACAGGUCUUGACCACCAUGUUGCGAUGCUUCUUUAGUAUCACGUUGUUGUUGUCAUCGUAGAAGAGUACAGAGAUGGGACUGAGCUUGGUGGGUGCGCAGCACGCUUUGGGAACCUCAUCCGGCUUCAGAAGGUGAACCUGCCAUUGAAAACGGGUUCGUGAUCGUCGACAGGUGGACAGCGACAGCAAAGAGGAAACAACUGUCCUGGAUGAGGUCCAGUUGGAUGUGCCAUUGGAUGAUUUGCCAGAUGUUCCACAGCUGCCAGACCUCCUUGAUGUCCAG